rnacentral:rRNA from 1 species
AGUGAACGCUGGCGGCAGGCCUAAUACAUGCAAGUCGAACGGCAGCACGGCAGAGCUUGCUCUGUGGGUGGCGAGUGGCGGACGGGUGAGGAAUACAUGGGAAUCUGCCCAGUCGUGGGGGAUAACGUAGGGAAACUUACGCUAAUACCGCAUGCGCCCUUCGGGGAAAGCCGGGGACCGUUCGGGCCUGGCGCGAUUGGAUGAGCCCAUGUCGGAUUAGCUAGUUGGCGGGGUAAUGGCCCACCAAGGCGACGAUCCGUAGCUGGUCUGAGAGGAUGAUCAGCCACACUGGAACUGAGACACGGUCCAGACUCCUACGGGAGGCAGCAGUAGGGAAUAUUGGACAAUGGGCGCAAGCCUGAUCCAGCCAUGCCGCGUGAGUGAAGAAGGCCCUCGGGUUGUAAAGCUCUUUGUCCGGAAAGAAAAGCGCCGGGUUAAUACCCUGGUGUCCUGACGGUACCGGAAGAAUAAGCACCGGCUAACUUCGUGCCAGCAGCCGCGGUAAU